UACGUAGGGACCAAGCGUUGUUCGGAUUUACUGGGCGUAAAGGGCGCGUAGGCGGCUUAACAAGUCACUUGUGAAAUCUCUGGGCUUAACCCAGAACGGCCAAGUGAAACUGUUAUGCUAGAGUGCAGAAGGGGCAAUCGGAAUUCUUGGUGUAGCGGUGAAAUGCGUAGAUAUCAAGAGGAACACCUGAGGUGAAGACGGGUUGCUGGGCUGACACUGACGCUGAGGCGCGAAAGCCAGGGGAGCAAACGGG
rnacentral:rRNA from 1 species